GUAGGUGGCAAGCGCUGUCCGGAAUUAUUGGGCGUAAAGCGCGCGCAGGCGGUUCUUUAAGUCUGAUGUGAAAGCCCACGGCUCAACCGUGGAGGGUCAUUGGAAACUGGAGAACUUGAGUACAGAAGAGGAAAGCGGAAUUCCACGUGUAGCGGUGAAAUGCGUAGAGAUGUGGAGGAACACCAGUGGCGAAGGCGGCUUUCUGGUCUGUAACUGACGCUGAGGCGCGAAAGCGUGGGGGAGCAAACAGGAUUAGAUACCCUGGUAGUCCACGCCGUAAACGAUGAGUGCUAAGUGUUAGGGGGUUUUCCGCCCCCUUAGUGCUGCAGCUAACGCAUUAAGCACUCCCGCCUGGGAGUACGGCCGCAAGGCUG
rnacentral:rRNA from 1 species